AACGCGAAGAACCUUACCUGGCCUUGACAUCCCAGGAAUCCUGCAGAGAUGUGGGAGUGCCUUCGGGAACCUGGAGACAGGUGCUGCAUGGCUGUCGUCAGCUCGUGUCGUGAGAUGUUGGGUUAAGUCCCGCAACGAGCGCAACCCUUAUCGAUAGUUGCUAGCGGUUCGGCCGAGCACUCUAUUGAGACUGCCGUUGACAAAACGGAGGAAGGUGGGGAUGACGUCAAGUCCUCAUGGCCUUUAUGUCCAGGGCUACACACGUGCUACAAUGGCCGGUACAAAGGGUUGCCAACCCGCGAGGGGGAGCCAAUCCCAAAAAGCCGGUCGUAGUCCGGAUCGCAGUCUGCAACUCGGCUGCGUGAAGUCGGAAUCGCUAGUAAUCGUGAAUCUGCGAUGUCACGGUGAAUACGUUCCCGGGUCUUGUACACACCG
rnacentral:rRNA from 1 species